rnacentral:snoRNA from 1 species
CUGCGGGGAUGAUCACCCUGAACUCUCUCUUGCUGAUGGGUCAGUGAAGUUUCUAAUUUCGCUCUGAGUAGC